rnacentral:rRNA from 1 species
ACGCUCGACACCUACGGAAGGCAGCAGUGGGGAAUAUUGCACAAUGGGGGAAACCCUGAUGCAGCAACGUCGCGUGAAGGAAGACGGUUUUCGGAUUGUAAACUUCUAUCAAUAGGGAAGAAAGAAAUGACGGUACCUAAAUAAGAAGCCCCGGCUAACUACGUGCUAGCAGCCGCGGUAAUCUGAGCGGGCUGGCAAGGC